CUAAGGAUGACUAAUCCAUAUUAAAACAGUAGUAUAAAUAGAGAAUUUGCCACUUGGUCUCUGCGAGAAGAGGAAAGUUGAAGAGUGAGUGCUUUUCUUUCAAAUUUUUAGUUAAAGGGCACCAUGAGUAUACGAGACUACGUGGUGAUGAAGCUCGCUUAUGCGUUGAAAGGAGCGUAUAAUGCUUAGCGGUUUGAGCAACAAGGAUGAAUCAGAAUACUCUCGGAUGCUGAUGAAUAUAAAUGCAAAGAUCAUGCAUUUAGGCCAAGUAAAAAAGAAGGUUGAAGGAUUUGCGGCAAGAUGAGAAGGCUACUAGGCAUUUAAGAGUUUAUUUAACGUAACUUUAGAUCAAAGUGUUGUAAGUUAUGUUCACUUAAAUGCCUGUUAUUCAUAAAGUGUAAGUUUUGGCUGAAUUGA